GCAUAUCAAUAAGCGGAGGAAAAGAAAAUAACAAUGAUUCCCCUAGUAACUGCGAGUGAAGAGGGACAAGCUCAAAUUUUAAAUCUGUCGGGUUCUACCUGACCGAGUUGUAAUUUGAAGAGGCGUUUUCUGUGUUUCUGAUCGGUCCAAGUCCUUUGGGAUAAGGCAUCACGGAGGGUGAGAAUCCCGUUCGGUUGAUCAGAUUCGCUUUACGAUACGCCUUCAAAGAGUCAAGUUGUUUGGGAUUGCAGCUUAAAAUGGGAGGUAAAUUUCUCCUAAGGCUAAAUAACGGCGAGAGACCGAUAGCGAACAAGUACCGUGAGGGAAAGAUGAAAAGAACUUUGAAAAGAGAGUUAAAUAGUACGUGAAAUUGUUGAAAGGGAAACGAUUGAAGCCAGUCGUACCUGCGGGUAAUCAGCCUUUUGGGCAUGAUUCUGUGGAGCGUGAGGAGUUAAACGCCUUCAUGCCUGCAUAUUCGUGCUCUUGGGUGUACUUGCUCGUGUGGUUGGUUAACAUCAAUUUCGGAUAUCAUAAAAUGGCUGGAGGAAUGUAGCUUCGAUUUCGAUUGAAGUGUUAUAGCCUUCGGCAGAUGUGAUGAUCGGGAUUGAGGAUUGCAACGGAUACCCUUCGGGGCUACCUGUCUGAUCUCUGAUCGUUGCUCUGGUGCCGAAAGCUUGCUUACGGUUAUCAAAGUCGAUGGUCAACAGGUUAGAACGGGUUAAAUUCGUUAAGGAUGUUGACGUA
rnacentral:rRNA from 1 species